UGCAAGUCGAGCGGACAGAUGGGAGCUUGCUCCCUGAUGUUAGCGGCGGACGGGUGAGUAACACGUGGGUAACCUGCCUGUAAGACUGGGAUAACUCCGGGAAACCGGGGCUAAUACCGGAUGCUUGUUUGAACCGCAUGGUUCAAACAUAAAAGGUGGCUUCGGCUACCACUUACAGAUGGACCCGCGGCGCAUUAGCUAGUUGGUGAGGUAACGGCUCACCAAGGCAACGAUGCGUAGCCGACCUGAGAGGGUGAUCGGCCACACUGGGACUGAGACACGGCCCAGACUCCUACGGGAGGCAGCAGUAGGGAAUCUUCCGCAAUGGACGAAAGUCUGACGGAGCAACGCCGCGUGAGUGAUGAAGGUUUUCGGAUCGUAAAGCUCUGUUGUUAGGGAAGAACAAGUACCGUUCGAAUAGGGCGGUACCUUGACGGUACCUAACCAGAAAGCCACGGCUAACUACGUGCCAGCAGCCGCGGUAAUACGUAGGUGGCAAGCGUUGUCCGGAAUUAUUGGGCGUAAAGGGCUCGCAGGCGGUUUCUUAAGUCUGAUGUGAAAGCCCCCGGCUCAACCGGGGAGGGUCAUUGGAAACUGGGGAACUUGAGUGCAGAAGAGGAGAGUGGAAUUCCACGUGUAGCGGUGAAAUGCGUAGAGAUGUGGAGGAACACCAGUGGCGAAGGCGACUCUCUGGUCUGUAACUGACGCUGAGGAGCGAAAGCGUGGGGAGCGAACAGGAUUAGAUACCCUGGUAGUCCACGCCGUAAACGAUGAGUG
rnacentral:rRNA from 1 species